CGGUGUGUAGCGCAGCCCGGUAGCGCACUGUCAUGGGGUGUCAGGGGUCGGAGGUUCGAAUCCUCUCACACCGACCA
rnacentral:tRNA from 2 species